rnacentral:rRNA from 1 species
AGGGCACCACCAGGAGUGGAGCCUGCGGCUUAAUUUGACUCAACACGGGAAAACUCACCCGGCCCGGACACUGGAAGGAUUGACAGAUUGAGAGCUCUUUCUUGAUUCAGUGGGUGGUGGUGCAUGGCCGUUCUUAGUUGGUGGAGUGAUUUGUCUGGUUAAUUCCGAUAACGAACGAGACUCUAGCCUACUAAAUAGAUCGUCGGCUUACAAACGCCGGCGAGACUUCUUAGAGGGACAGGCGGUGAUUCAACCGCACGAAACAGAGCAAUAACAGGUCUGUGAUGCCCUUAGAUGUCCGGGGCCGCACGCGCGCUACACUGAAGUGAUCAGCGUGCUUUUUCAACCUACUCUGUCAAGAGUGGGGAACCCAAUGAACCUUCUUCGUGAUUGGGAUAGGGGAUUGUAAUUAUUCCCCUUGAACGAGGAAUUCCCAGUAAGCGCGAGUCAUAAGCUCGCGUUGAUUACGUCCCUGCCCUUUGUACACGCCGCCCGUCGCUACUACCGAUUGAAUGUUUU